GCCACCCAGGCGCCCCACAGAAGGAGCUUUCUUGAAGAAUCAUCAACGUUUGGAGCCGGAAGCAGUAUUGGAGAACAUCUACUUAAGUGGUUGGAAACAAGUGUGUUCUCCGAGUGGCUUCAAGGGGAUGCCUGGCUAAUAUGGACUCACUGUGGCCUUUUCUAGUCAUCAGCGAUGGGCCUUCCCUUCUCUUCUCUUCAGCGAUGGGCUUAGUCUUCUGACAAGACUACAAAUGUCACAAGUCGGGAAUCAAGUCUGGGUGCCUGCAUGGAGACCCUGGCCCAGGAAUCCUGGGGGGAGGGGAUCGACCUCUGACCCCAGGUGGGCUGGCAUCUGGAAUUUGCAUCGUGGGUUCACACAGCACCGGAGAUGCAGAAUCCUCCGUCUUCAAGCUCUUGAUACUUUUGAGUAGUGGUACAGACACAGAGGCUUCCCCCACAGAGUGGGGGACCGGAUGGAGACCUGUGAAUACGUCUGAUUGCUUUCCUGGCAUCGUUACAGAGCAUCAGCAAGAAACUCCUGUUAUAAGUUGUGGGGACCAGAAGUUGGAAAUCAGUUGCACGGAGCUGAAAUAGAUGUAUCCUCAGCGUAGAGCUCCUUCUGGAGGCUGGAGGGGUGGAUUCUUCUUGCCUCUCCCGGUUUGGCUGCUGAUGAGGAGGCAACUACCAUGACCAUGACAAGGACAUUGUGGAGAGGCCUCUGGUUAACAGCCUUCAAGCCAUCUCAGCCCAGGAGCCAGACAUAUAAAGUGACUGUGUUGAAAGCCUGUUGUCUUCCCAGGUCCACACGAGUAGGCAGAGCACUGCCAAGAUAAAG